rnacentral:lncRNA from 1 species
UUUAUUAAGUAGCUUUAAAUUUAUUAUUUUAGAUCGGAUCGGAUUUUUAUUAGAAAAAUAUAUUAUUGUUGUUCGGAUUGGGUUUUUGUUAGAAAAUAUAUAUUUUAAAUUGACGAUCGAAUUAGUUCAUUGUAUUCAUAUCGGGUCAAGAAGUGUAGCAGUAAAAAAUCAUCAAAAUCGGAGUUAAAAUAACCAUUAAAUCGUGAU